UGUGUGUAACUGAGUUAUUCCUCGCCGCAUCCAGCGCGCUCCCUCAGUAUGGGGAGCGGAACACAGGCCGCAAUGUGGCCGAGAGAGAUAAGCGCACGGCAGCGGCCUCUUCAUUCCCGAUAAGCCCCUAAACCCAUUAUUUAUGAAAUGAUUCAUUAUUAUUUGGCUGUCGUGGGCUAUAUAGGCUUGUGGAGGGCAAAGCAUUAAAAAAAAAAAAAAGCAAACAGGCACAGCGUAACGGCCUGUAACAACGUAAGGUAGUGUAGUACUGUAGCUUGAGCUUUAGUUGAGGUGUUUUAAUUUUUUUUUUAUUAAAGAAACAAAAGCUCAGGUUAAGCUUCUGACCUAUUUAUAAUUCAAACAAAAGGCUUUUCGCUAAGCCCAUUUAUCCUGCAAAAAGAUAGCGUUAAGUGAUGAUAGCAGAGGGUCGUGUGUCUUUUAGCCUAUUUUUUUUUAUUUUUCAUUUUAUCCCAAAAAGAGUGAGCUAUAUCCAUUUUCCAUUCCUGCGCCCUGAGGCUGCACGUGCUACUGAUACAAUACACUAGUGAGCUGACGAGGGUGUAAUUAUGAUAACGAUGCCUUAAUAGAAAGGAAUUCAAUUCUUUAUCGAUUGAUUGAUUAAUAAAUAGGGGGAUGAAUAAAUGUGCUGUUGCGUGUAAUUGCUGGUGUUAGGGGCCUUGCAUGGUCGGCGGUUCCCCGGGGCCCGUGGGGAGGCAUCAUGGCUGUGGGAGAUAAAAGCGCGUGAGCUCCUGGACGCAUCAGAUAAAAGAGCCGCGCGCUAUCAGAGCGAGUGCAGGACAGUUGAAAUUGUAGCAGCGCUGUAUGCGUCUGGCUGGCAUGAUCCGAAGAGAAGCAGUGCUCUCCCGGGUCAUGAGCCGUGUCACCUGGUCCAGACUGAGGCUGGCCACCACCUCUCCAUUCACCUGAAGGAUCUCAUCGCCGAUGCCGAGGAGACCAACGUAGGGACUCUCACCACUGCCGUCACCCACUUUCUCUACAUACACCCCUGAGAAGAAAACAAUAGGCGGGUAAAUGUUGAUUUAAAGAGUUACCUGUGUCUGGUCGACCUUUGCCUCUUGAGAUGACAAAACCGAAGGGGCCAUUUGGGGGUCUGACAAGCUCCAGGAGGAGAGUUCCAUCAGGAAAGGCCUGAGUGACCCGGCCCACUGGACGCACCAUUCUGGAGGUAAGUACAUCUUCAACACUCAGUGCCCGAUGAAGCUCAAUCUGAGGACUGUCAGGGCUGCAAUAGCACAAAUUCAGCUUUAAUAAUCUGCAACCAGAAGUAGUCAAAAUGUUUUAUGUAGAUAUAUACCUGAUUUAUUUUGUUCUCUUUGUGUUUAUUUACACUUCAAUUUUCUUGGCCUACCUGGGUGCCAGGCCAUACGGUAUCUGCACCUCUCCCAGAAUUGUUGAGCGUUCUGUUCUUCUUUCCAAACUCUGCACAGAUGAGGCUUUGCGCAGUUGGGCCAGUGGCAGCACCUAGUGGCAAAUAAAUGGCACUGUUACAAACUCUUGUUUUUCCAUAUUGGCAAAAUUCUCCACAACAGCUAUUGGAACUGGAAACUUUUUGCUCUAACACUAACUGUGUGUUUUGAACCACACACAUCCGUAAAAUAUUGCCAAUGCAAUUGGCUGGAACAGAAAGUUGUUUCCAUUUGCUUAGUGUACUUUAACAGCUGCCAAGAGGACAACUAGGACAGAAGGUGGAAGGAAACAACCUGGAGAGCAUUUUUCGUGCUUCUAGAGUCAGGCGCAAUUUGUAAUACUUCAAAGCCUCAGUUGGUCCACUGUGGCAAAUAAGUAGUGAAAGGUACUUCAAAGCAUAACUUGUUAUGCUAUGUUAAGUUUAAAGAGAUGUAAAUAAGGUUUUUUCCUCCCUACGGUCUACUUUUCAAGGUAAAAAUCGCAUCUAUUUGAUGUUUGUUGUUGAUGUUCACAUGAAAGUAAACAGAAGACAAUAGCAGGUCCAGCAUAGCAGUCCUUGAACAUAACAUGGCAUGAAAAAAAAUUCUCACUGGGUGCAGGGUUUGCAGUGAGGGUGUCCUCUGGAUGCGGCUGGGAGGAGGUGGUCUGCGGGUGGGGCUUGGUGAAGUAGAACUGGCCCGGGGGGGAGCGGGUAUACUGAGCUGUUCCAUGCUGCUGGAGCGUCCUCCUUUCACCAGUCUGCCAACACUGUUCAGACCAAUGGAGGAAAAGAAGCGACGCAAGAAAAGCUUUGGCCGUCCAUCCAUCUUUCUGUAAUGUAGAGACAUUAUAUUCUUAUUACGUGGUAAUAUAGACACAGAUGUUUUAUCUAAGACACAGUAACUACUUCAACAUCUCUAUCAGCCAGAAAACAAUGAUUAUUUUUUUGAAUUAUUAUUUUGCAGAUCAUGAUGUUGCAUACAGUCUUGACAAGUAAAGCUUUUUAUUACCACAAGAGGGCAGGAUUGUCCUGUUUCCGAAAUACCCAACGCAACAAAAUCCUGUGGACUGUUAGGUCACCAGGCUUCACCAGCGACUGUUUUGUCUUGUCUUACCUGGACCCGUCACAGUUCUCCUCCCACACUGCCUCGGCUUUCAGGUGUUCUGCUCUCAACAGCUCGGCUCUGAGGCCCUCAGUCCGAGACAGAGCCAGGCCCCGGAGAGCAGGACGAAGCUCAGGACCAGAAGCAGAGUCUCCAAGACCUGCUGGGAGAUGCACUCAGCUGAUGUCAAAGAAUUAUUUUAAAGUGUUCUGUCACAUGUUUAAUUCUCUUCUAUCCUGAUCUUUUCCGCUUUAUUAUACUCUACAAGAUUAAACUUCGUAAUAUUCAAUUUUGCUCUGGUCUAGAGUUUGUUCUACUCAAAGAAGUUCUGUUUUAUUCUCUUCUGUUCUGUUCCAAUAUAAUGUAUGUAUUUUUUUCUUCUACCUUAAUAAUGAUUAAGAUCAUGUCAACUAGACAUUUCUGUCUUUAGGAUGAUAAAUACCAAUUACUUGGCAUAAUUAAUUAAACUUUAUAACAUUUAACUCAAUUGAAUGUGCAUUUACAGUAUUAUAAGAAUGAGUAUUUUCUCUGACCCUGCUUGAAAAGAGAUCUUCCUAAACUAAAGAAACGUAAUGCUCUAUUGCUUGUUUUAUGAGCUCAGUACAAUGAUCUGGAUAUCGUCUAGACUUGAUCUUUUAGACAUGCACAGCAGAUUUUUGUCUGCACUAGAUACAUGAUCAAAAAUGUGUUUGGUUUGGUCCAGGGGAGAGUCUGGGUAGGGCAUGCAGGAGUAUAUGGGGGGUGGGUGCCCUUUGUCAUGAUGAUUGCUUUUGUUGACAUAUGAUUGGGAGUACCAAUCAGCAGUAUCAGCAAAAGACUGGAAAACAAUAGACAGGCUAGGACAAAACAAUAUUUAGUUCUUGUCAAAUCACAACCUCUAAUGUUGAAAAAUAAAGCCAAUGCAAAAGAA